GAUUUUAUAAAGAAUGGAGGACCAAAAGCAAAGCUGCCCUCCAUCCCGGAAGAGUCCGAAGGACCUUCUACAAAAUGAGGGACUCACGUGGCCUCAGACUCGCUCUCUAGCCAAGGGUAACCUCUAACUUGCUGAGCCUCUAGGAAGACCACAGCAGAUACCCAAGCUCUCUGCAAAAGCUCCUCAAAUUCCAAUCUCUUCUGGACCCUUCAAGUGCUGGGAUUGCAGCAAGAAAAACAAAACCAGAAGGAAGGGGUGAGAGAAAAAAAAAGCAAAUGGGGAACUGAAAAAUUAUUGAAGGGCUGGUGAGGUGACUCAGUGGAAAAAGGAGCUUGCUGCCAAGUCUGAAGACCAGAGUUCAAUUCCCAGGACCCACCUGGUGGAAGUUGUCUUCAAACUGCCCCAUGAAUAUUCAAACACAAGCAUGUAUAUUCAUACAAAAUAAAUAAAUAUAAUUUAAAAAAAUAAA
ensembl:processed_transcript 5033403H07Rik RIKEN cDNA 5033403H07 gene